GACGAACGCUGGCGGCGUGCUUAACACAUGCAAGUCGAACGCUGAAGCUUGGUGCUUGCCCUGGGUGGCUGAGUGGCGAACGGGUGAGUAAUACGUGAGUAACCUGCCCUUGACUCUGGGAUAAGCCUGGGAAACUGGGUCUAAUACUGGAUAUGACAUGCCACUGCAUGGUGGUGUGUGGAAAGGGUUUUACUGGUUUUGGAUGGGCUCACGGCCUAUCAGCUUGUUGGUGGGGUAAUGGCCUACCAAGGCGACGACGGGUAGCCGGCCUGAGAGGGUGACCGGCCACACUGGGACUGAGACACGGCCCAGACUCCUACGGGAGGCAGCAGUGGGGAAUAUUGCACAAUGGGCGGAAGCCUGAUGCAGCGACGCCGCGUGAGGGAUGACGGCCUUCGGGUUGUAAACCUCUUUCAGCACGGAAGAAGCGAGAGUGACGGUACGUGCAGAAGAAGCGCCGGCUAACUACGUG
rnacentral:rRNA from 1 species